GGGAGAAGUCAAUUGAAAGGGACUUCCAGCAUGUUCUGGGAUUGCAAGCAAAAUUCUAAAAAAAUUCAGAUGUCUGAGGGUGCUAUGCAUGUGGAGAAAUGUGGUGUAAUUGCUUUACUUAGCAUGGCACUUAUUCACUGCCUAUAAUGUGUGGCACUUCAUCAGUCCCAGUGGCGAAGGAAGAAGUUGCCGUUCCUGCCUGCCACAACCUGUCCAUUUAUUUGGAAGGAGAUGAUAAAUAGUACAACAAUUAGGAACGAUAAGCAAAAAUGAAAAGACAACAUUAUUUGUGUUAAGGUCUACCAGGUAUCAGAUGUCAGGCGGGGUGUUUCAUAAACCUUAUCACAGAAGCAAUAUCAGGUGAUGAUGAAGAGUAUGGGAUCUGGAACCAGAGUCUAAGUGCCUCAUACAUGAUGGCGAUUGUUAUCAUCUAAUUGAUUUUCUCAACAGACACAUGGAGCAGGCAUUCUUACUCCCAUUGUAUAAACAAGGAAAGCAGAGUCAGAGGGGUUAGAUGUCUUGCAUAAGAUUACAAAAUUGAGCU